UACGUAGGGUGCAAGCGUUGUCCGGAAUUAUUGGGCGUAAAGAGCUCGUAGGUGGCCUGUCGCGUCGGCUGUGAAAAACUCGGGGGCUCAACUCCGAGCUUGCAGUCGAUACGGGCAGGCUAGAGUUCGGCAGGGGGAGACUGGAAUUCCUGGUGUAGCGGUGAAAUGCGCAGAUAUCAGGAGGAACACCGGUGGCGAAGGCGGUUCUCUGGGCAUUACCUGACGCUGAGGAGCGAAAGUGUGGGGAGCGAACAGG
rnacentral:rRNA from 1 species